GCAAACUUGGUCAUUUAGAGGAAGUAAAAGUCGUAACAAGGUUUCCGUAGGUGAACCUGCGGAAGGAUCAUUAGAGAUUUUUACUGGCUACUCGGCAGAGCCGAGUAGGGGAGUAAAAUUGUUGGCGGUCAGCCAACCAUCAUGCUCGCCUACUCGACUGUUUCUCUAGCUUUUACUGGCUACUCGGCAAAGCCGAGUAGGGAGUUAAGCAGUAGGGAGUCAACUUUAUUACUACUGAAUCAUUAGCAAAACACAUGAGAACCUCGGCGCAAUGGAUCUCUCGGCUCUUGCAUCGAUGAAGAACGCAGC
rnacentral:misc_RNA from 1 species